UUAAUACUUCUGCUGAUUGGCUACAAGUGUUCACUUUGCCCACCAAAUGUAUGUGCCUGAAAGCAGAGGAGAACCAGAUAUGAGCAAGCACUAGAAAUUUCUACCAGAGUGUUUAUGAAGUCAAUAGGUUUACAGGAAAUCUGUCACUUUUUAUUAAAAUGGAAAACUGUGAAGAAAGAGAAAGAUAGCAGUUGAAGUUAAAAUUCUCGGAUGACUAUUUUGCUUUUGAGGAGUCAGCAUUUAAAAACGAUAUGCUGAUUUGGAAGGUCCUGGGAGUAAACUGCAAACUUUAUUUUUUCCAUUCAAUCAAUGGAUUUUUUAAUCAUUCCUUGGAGUCGAUGAAGUUCGGAAAUGGUGUGUGAUGGGGAACGUGGCGGGCCAGUGUAUUCCUAGAAUUUGCAUCUUGGAUUAGUUUGCUGCUUUUUUGAAGAGAUUCCAUUUUGAAGGGCAAGAACCUAAUGUGAUGGAUUUAUCUUCAGAAAUGAACAGACAUGGGAAGAAUCCAGUGAGUCACAAGCUGGAAGAUCAGAAGAAGGUAUACAACAUGAUGUUUUGUUAUGAGCAUCACGGACAAACGUCAUGGCAUUUCUGGAUAUUCUCCAGUCACUUAAAACAUCUGAAUGGGCCAGAGAGAGCAAAUGUCUCUCAAUUUCAGAAUGAGAGAAUUCACUUUCAUGCAUCUUUCUGUUUGGCACUAACAAGAAUUGGUCACUGAUUAAAAGGCAAGUCCAAAUUAAAAGCAAUAAGAAGCAGCUGCAAUUUUUAAAGCACGCUAUAUAAUUU
rnacentral:lncRNA from 1 species